rnacentral:lncRNA from 1 species
GUGCUGACGCCAUGACGCCCCGGCUGGUGUGUGUCGGUGUGUAUGUGUGUGUGUGAGUGUGCGCGCUCCGAGUGUGUGUGUAUUUGUGUAUCGGCGGUCCCGCAGGUCCCGGAUGUUGCGGACAGUAUGAGGCAAGCGCAGGGGGACGGGGACCAGCAGCUGUCGCCGCCGCUCUCAGAUCGAGUCUUGCUCUGUCACCCAGGCUGGAGUGCAGUGGCGCGAUCUCAGCUCACUGCCACCUUUGCCUCCUGGGUUCAAGCGAUUCUUCUGCCUCAGCCUCCCGAGUAGCUGGGAUUACAGGCUCUGGGAACCACCCUUCUACUUUCUGUCUCUAGGAAUUUCACUACUCUAGGGUGAAGAGGGAACAGAAAUCUUUGCCCCCUGACUUUGGAAAUCUCGUUUAACCUUCAAACUGGCGAUGUCAAGGGUUCCAAGUCCUCCACCUCCGGCAGAAAUGUCGAGUGGCCCCGUAGCUGAGAGUUGGUGCUACACACAGUGUUCUCAGCAGCUGAAAAAAGUUAUAAAAGCUAUUGGUCAGUGUGAGAUUUCUUAAAAUGUGGAUGAGGAACAUAAG